GACAUGCAGCCAUCUGAACCAACCACCACCAGGGAAGUGGCCCUGGCCCCUGCUCUCCAGGCAAACCUCUGAUCCAGCAGCAUAUGAGGUGUAACCUCCAGGAUGACCUCCCUACUUCCCCCACCAGGAGUUCAGGACUUCCUAGCUGGACCCCUAGGAUGCCUGCCAGGGAUGCUCUGUGAAUUGAGAUGGGGAAACCGAGGCCUGCCAGCAGUCACAGAAAGAGCUGGAAGAAGGCCUCUCGGGACCACCACUCCCCCAACCCACAAGGAAAGGUUUUGGCUCUACAGAGA